rnacentral:ncRNA from 16 species
AACUUUGUUAACAUAUACGGUUCCAAGUAAAAUUGGAUGAAAAGGGAAUCAGGUGAAAGACCUGAACUAUCCCCGUAGCUGUAAAUUUCAGAAAGGAAGUUGGACUCUCACACCACUGUCAACGAAUACUGAUGGGAAGGUUACCAACUGCGAAAUAAGUCAGAAGACCUGCCGUAUAUACAUUCUAGCUU